rnacentral:rRNA from 1 species
GACGAACGCUGGCGGCGUGCUUAACACAUGCAAGUCGUACGGUAAGGCCCUUUCGGGGGUCCACGAGUGGCGAACGGGUGAGUAACACGUGAGUAACCGGCCCACAACUUUGGGAUAACGCUAGGAAACUGGUGCUAAUACUGGAUAUGUGCUCCUGCUGCAUGGUGGGGGUUGGAAAGCUCCGGCGGUUGUGGAUGGACUCGCGGCCUAUCAGCUUGUUGGUGGGGUAGUGGCCUACCAAGGCGGCGACGGGUAGCCGGCCUGAGAGGGUGACCGGCCACAUUGGGACUGAGAUACGGCCCAGACGCCUACGGGAGGCAGCAGUGGGGAAUAUUGCACAAUGGGCGCAAGCCUGAUGCAGAAACGCCGCGUGCGGGAUGACGGCCUUCGGGUUGUAAACCGCUUUCAGCAGGGACGAAGCUUUUUGUGACGGUACCUGCAGAAGAAGCACCGGCUAACUACGUG